UACGGAGGAUCCGAGCGUUAUCCGGAUUUAUUGGGUUUAAAGGGUGCGUAGGCGGCCUAUUAAGUCAGGGGUGAAAGACGGUAGCUUAACUAUCGCAGUGCCUUUGAUACUGAUGGGCUUGAAUGUACUUGAGGUAGGCGGAAUGUGACAAGUAGCGGUGAAAUGCAUAGAUAUGUCACAGAACACCCAUUGCGAAGGCAGCUUACUACACGAUCAUUGACGCUGAGGCACGAAAGCGUGGGGAGCAAACAGG
rnacentral:rRNA from 1 species